rnacentral:piRNA from 1 species
UGUCGAGAUGAUGUGACUUUCUUGUCCACC